rnacentral:rRNA from 1 species
GCCCUUAGAGUUUGAUCCUGGCUCAGGAUGAACGCUAGCGGCAGGCUUAACACAUGCAAGUCGAGGGGUAACAGGAGUAGCUUGCUACUUGCUGACGACCGGCGCACGGGUGCGUAACGCGUAUAGAAUCUACCUUGUACUAGGGGAUAGCCUUUGGAAACGAAGAUUAAUACCCUAUAGUAAGUAUUUAUGGCAUCAUUUAUACUUUAAAGGUUACGGUACAAGAUGACUAUGCGUCCUAUUAGUUUGUUGGUAAGGUAACGGCUUACCAAGACUUCGAUAGGUAGGGGCCCUGAGAGGGGGAUCCCCCACACUGGUACUGAGACACGGACCAGACUCCUACGGGAGGCAGCAGUGAGGAAUAUUGGACAAUGGAGGCAACUCUGAUCCAGCCAUGCCGCGUGCAGGAUGACGGCCCUAUGGGUUGUAAACUGCUUUUAUGUAGGAAGAAACACUCUCACGUGUGAGAGCUUGACGGUACUACAAGAAUAAGGACCGGCUAACUCCGUGCCAGCAGCCGCGGUAAUAAGGGCG